AUUGAACGCUGGCGGCAUGCCUUACACAUGCAAGUCGAACGGCAGCACGGGAGCAAUCCUGGUGGCGAGUGGCGAACGGGUGAGUAAUAUAUCGGAACGUGCCCAGUAGUGGGGGAUAACUGCUCGAAAGAGCAGCUAAUACCGCAUACGACCUGAGGGUGAAAGGGGGGGAUCGCAAGACCUCUCGCUAUUGGAGCGGCCGAUAUCAGAUUAGCUAGUUGGUGGGGUAAAGGCCUACCAAGGCAACGAUCUGUAGUUGGUCUGAGAGGACGACCAGCCACACUGGGACAGAGACACGGGCCAGACUCCUACGGGAGGCAGCAGUGGGGAAUUUUGGACAAUGGGCGCAAGCCUGAUCUAGCAAUGCCGCGUGCAGGAAGAAGGCCUUCGGGUUGUAAACUGCUUUUGUCAGGGAAGAAAUCCUCUAGGUUAAUACCCUUGGGGGGAUGACGGUACCUGAAGAAUAAGCACCGGCUAACUACGUGCCAGCAGCCGCCGUAACAC
rnacentral:rRNA from 1 species